rnacentral:misc_RNA from 1 species
GAUGAAGAACGCAGCGAAAUGCGAUAAGUAAUGCGAAUUGCAGAAUUUCCGUGAAUCAUCGAAUCUUUGAACGCACAUUGCGCCCUCUGGUAUUCCGGGGGGCAUGCCUGUUCGAGCGUCAUUAUAACCACUCAAGCUCUCGCUUGGUAUUGGAGUUCGCGAUCUCGCGGCUCCUAAAAUCAGUGGCGGUGCCUGUCGGCUCUACGCGUAGUAAUACUCCUCGCGAUUGAGUCCGGUAGGUUUACUUGCCAGCAACCCCCAAUUUUUACAGGUUGACCUCGGAUCAGGUAGGGAUACCCGCUGAACUUAAGCAUAUCAAUAAGCGGAGGA